AUUCUUUUAGUAUCAACUAGAACAGCUGACUUCCAAUCAGCUAGUUGCGGUCUAGUCCGGAAAAGAAUA
rnacentral:tRNA from 1 species